rnacentral:rRNA from 1 species
UACAGAGGGUGCGAGCGUUAAUCGGAAUUACUGGGCGUAAAGAGCUCGUAGGUGGUUCGGUAAGUCGGAUGUGAAAUCUCCAGGCUCAACCUGGAGGGGUCAUUCGAUACUGCCGUGACUAGAGUUCGGUAGGGGAGUGUGGAAUUCCUGGUGGAGCGGUGAAAUGCGCAGAUAUCAGGAGGAACACCCGUAGCGAAGGCGGCACUCUGGGCCGAUACUGACACUGAGGAGCGAAAGCGUGGGGAGCGAACAGG